GAGCACUAUUAUAGGGUGUUUCUUUUACACAUAACAUUUUAGCCGGACAAUAGGAAGAAGCUAAACUACAUGCUGCUAUUCUGGAUGAGAAGCUUCUUAAGUUCUUUUUUACGUAUAAUAAAGAUGGCAACGUUUUUAUUUUCAAACAUGUUAAAACAAGCGGGAAUAGAGUGUUCGAGCCUUCUCAUACCAUGAUUAGUUCGCGAAUAAGGUACGAACCAGGAAGGCCUUUUCCGAAUGUCAUAAUGGGAUUGUGUAGUUUUCCUGAGGUUACACAGUUUAAGAAAACAAGCGUUGUUUGAUAGCAAGCUUUGUUCGUAUUUCAUAAUAAGGUUAAAGCUGUGUAUGUGAUCAAUCGGUGAAAUGUAAUAUGCUCUGAAUAAAUCACUUUUAUGUGCGUCGCAUCGUA